rnacentral:rRNA from 1 species
GAUGAACGCUGGCGGCGUGCCUAAUACAUGCAAGUCGAGCGAACGGACGAGAAGCUUGCUUCUCUGAUGUUAGCGGCGGACGGGUGAGUAACACGUGGAUAACCUACCUAUAAGACUGGGAUAACUUCGGGAAACCGGAGCUAAUACCGGAUAAUAUUUUGAACCGCAUGGUUCAAAAGUGAAAGACGGUCUUGCUGUCACUUAUAGAUGGAUCCGCGCUGCAUUAGCUAGUUGGUAGGGUAACGGCUUACCAAGGCAACGAUGCAUAGCCGACCUGAGAGGGUGAUCGGCCACACUGGAACUGAGACACGGUCCAGACUCCUACGGGAGGCAGCAGUAGGGAAUCUUCCGCAAUGGGCGAAAGCCUGACGGAGCAACGCCGCGUGAGUGAUGAAGGUCUUCGGAUCGUAAAACUCUGUUAUUAGGGAAGAACAUAUGUGUAAGUAACUGUGCACAUCUUGACGGUACCUAAUCAGAAAGCCACGGCUAACUACGUGCCAGCAGCCGCGGUAAUACGUAGGUGGCAAGCGUUAUCCGGAAUUAUUGGGCGUAAAGCGCGCGUAGGCGGUUUUUUAAGUCUGAUGUGAAAGCCCACGGCUCAACCGUGGAGGGUCAUUGGAAACUGGAAAACUUGAGUGCAGAAGAGGAAAGUGGAAUUCCAUGUGUAGCGGUGAAAUGCGCAGAGAUAUGGAGGAACACCAGUGGCGAAGGCGACUUUCUGGUCUGUAACUGACGCUGAUGUGCGAAAGCGUGGGGAUCAAACAGGAUUAGAUACCCUGGUAGUCCACGCCGUAAACGAUGAGUGCUAAGUGUUAGGGGGUUUCCGCCCCUUAGUGCUGCAGCUAACGCAUUAAGCACUCCGCCUGGGGAGUACGACCGCAAGGUUGAAACUCAAAGGAAUUGACGGGGACCCGCACAAGCGGUGGAGCAUGUGGUUUAAUUCGAAGCAACGCAAAGAACCUUACCAAAUCUUGACAUCCUUUGACAACUCUAGAGAUAGAGCCUUCCCCUUCGGGGGACAAAGUGACAGGUGGUGCAUGGUUGUCGUCAGCUCGUGUCGUGAGAUGUUGGGUUAAGUCCCGCAACGAGCGCAACCCUUAAGCUUAGUUGCCAUCAUUAAGUUGGGCACUCUAAGUUGACUGCCGGUGACAAACCGGAGGAAGGUGGGGAUGACGUCAAAUCAUCAUGCCCCUUAUGAUUUGGGCUACACACGUGCUACAAUGGACAAUACAAAGGGCAGCGAAACCGCGAGGUCAAGCAAAUCCCAUAAAGUUGUUCUCAGUUCGGAUUGUAGUCUGCAACUCGACUACAUGAAGCUGGAAUCGCUAGUAGUCGUAGAUCAGCAUGCUACGGUGAAUACGUUCCCGGGUCU